rnacentral:snoRNA from 1 species
UUUUUAUGAUGAUAAAACAUGUCAAAAAAGCAAGUAGGGACAUGAGAAUAUAAAAUGUGUUCGCGUUUAUAGUAUCUGAAAAAA